CUUUGACUCUCCUCAAUGAUCUAGAAUCGGAGUUUUCCUUUCCUACACGCGGAUAUCAAAGGUACGGUUAGUCGCAAAAUGGCGCCAAGGUAUGAAAUGGCCGUUGGCCUCAAAAAAGGCCACAAGGUCACCAAGAAUAAGAGAGAGAAAAAACCCAGUUCUCGCAAAGGG
rnacentral:lncRNA from 1 species